AUUGAACGCUGGCGGCAGGCCUAACACAUGCAAGUCGAGCGGUAGCACAGAGAGCUUGCUCUCGGGUGACGAGCGGCGGACGGGUGAGUAAUGUCUGGGAAACUGCCUGAUGGAGGGGGAUAACUACUGGAAACGGUAGCUAAUACCGCAUAACGUCGCAAGACCAAAGUGGGGGACCUUCGGGCCUCAUGCCAUCAGAUGUGCCCAGAUGGGAUUAGCUGGUAGGUGGGGUAACGGCUCACCUAGGCGACGAUCCCUAGCUGGUCUGAGAGGAUGACCGGCCACACUGGAACUGAGACACGGUCCAGACUCCUACGGGAGGCAGCAGUGGGGAAUAUUGCACAAUGGGCGCAAGCCUGAUGCAGCCAUGCCGCGUGUGUGAAGAAGGCCUUCGGGUUGUAAAGCACUUUCAGCGGGGAGGAAGGCGGUGAGGUUAAUAACCUCAUCGAUUGACGUUACCCGCAGAAGAAGCACCGGCUAACUCCGUGCCAGCCGCCGCCGUAAAAC
rnacentral:rRNA from 1 species